GAUGAACGCUAGCGGCAGGCCUAAUACAUGCAAGUCGGACGGGAUACACUGAUAUCUUGCUGUCAAUUGAGAGAGUGGCGCGCGAGUGCGUCACGCGCAAGCAACCUGCCACCAUCGGGGGGAUACCCUCUCGAACGAGAGAUUCACACCACAUAAUGUCACCAGUUCGCAUGUUCAGUUGAUUAAAUUUUUAUAGGAUGGAGAUGGGCUCGCGUGACAUUAGCUAGUUGGUAGGGUAACGGCUUACCAAGUCGCCGAUGUCUAGGGGGUCUGGGAGGAGAAUCCCCCACACGGGUACUGAGACACGGAGCAGAGUCAUACGGGAGGCAGCAGUAAGGAAUAUUGGUCAAGGGGCGGAAGCCUGAACCAGCCAUGCCGCGUGCAGGAUGACUGCCCUAUGGGUUGUAGACUGCUGUUGUUCAGGAAUAAACCUAAAUACGGGUAUUUAGCUGAAGGUACUGGAAGAAUAAGGACCGGCUAACUCCGUG
rnacentral:rRNA from 1 species